rnacentral:rRNA from 1 species
UACGUAGGGGGCGAGCGUUGUCCGGAUUUAUUGGGCGUAAAGAGCUCGUAGGCGGCCUGUUGCGUCCGCUGUGAAAUCCCGGGGCUCAGCCCCGGGCCUGCAGUGGAUACGGGCUGGCUAGAGGCAGGCAGGGGAGAACGGAAUUCCUGGUGUAGCGGUGAAAUGCGCAGAUAUCAGGAGGAACACCGGUGGCGAAGGCGGUUCUCUGGGCCGAUACUGACGCUGAGGAGCGAAAGCGUGGGGAGCGAACAGG